UGUCCAGUAACCCCUAUCCCUUCCUCCCCGUGGGACCUCGGUCGUAUGCUGACAGGGAAGG
rnacentral:ribozyme from 1 species